rnacentral:rRNA from 1 species
GGGUGAGUAACACGUAUGGAACCUGCCCGUAGCAGGGGGAUAAGCGGAAGAAAUUCCGUCUAAUACCGCGUAAUAACUCCGAGAGGCAUCUCCUGGGGUUUAAAGGGUAACACCGGCUACGGAUGGCCAUGCGGCGCAUUAGCUAGUUGGCGGGGUAACGGCCCACCAAGGCGACGAUGCGUAGGGGUUCUGAGAGGAAGGUCCCCCACACUGGUACUGAGACACGGACCAGACUCCUACGGGAGGCAGCAGUGAGGAAUAUUGGUCAAUGGGCGCGAGCCUGAACCAGCCAAGUCGCGUGAGGGAAGACGGUCCUAUGGAUUGUAAACCUCUUUUGUCGGGGAGCAAAAGACGCCACGCGUGGCGUUCCGAGAGUACCCGAAGAAAAAGCAUCGGCUAACUCCGUGCCAGCAGCCGCGGUAAUACGGAGGAUGCGAGCGUUAUCCGGAUUUAUUGGGUUUAAAGGGUGCGCAGGCGGAAGAUCAAGUCAGCGGUAAAAUUGAGAGGCUCAACCUCUUCGAGCCGUUGAAACUGGUUUUCUUGAGUGAGCGAGAAGUAUGCGGAAUGCGUGGCGUAGCGGUGAAAUGCAUAGAUAUCACGCAGAACUCCGAUUGCGAAGGCAGCAUACCGGCGCUCAACUGACGCUCAUGCACGAAAGUGUGGGUAUCGAACAGGAUUAGAUACCCUGGUAGUCCACACAGUAAACGAUGAAUAAUAAUUGUUCGGG